AUCCAGAUGACGAGUCCAAAAUAGGACGAAACGCGCGUCCAGUAU
rnacentral:hammerhead_ribozyme from 1 species